CGGAGGGGCGCAGGUCGGGGGUGACAAGAGCACAGAUGAGGUGCGGUUUACACAGGGCCAGUCUGU
rnacentral:tRNA from 1 species